CUGGUUGAUCCUGCCAGUAGUCAUAUGCCUGUCUCAAAGGUUAAGCCAUGCAUGUCUAAGUAUAAGCAAUUUAUACAGUGAAACUGCGAAUGGCUCAUUAAAUCAGUUAUCGUUUAUUUGAUAGUACCUUACUACUUGGAUAACCGUGGUAAUUCUAGAGCUAAUACAUGCUUAAAAUCCCGACUGUUUGGAAGGGAUGUAUUUAUUAGAUAAAAAAUCAAUGUCUUCGGACUCUUUGAUGAUUCAUAAUAACUUUUCGAAUCGCAUGGCCUUGUGCUGGCGAUGAUUCAUUCAAAUUUCUGCCCUAUCAACUUUCGAUGGUAGGAUAGUGGCCUACCAUGGUUUCAACGGGUAACGGGGAAUAAGGGUUCGAUUCCGGAGAGGGAGCCUGAGAAACGACUACCACAUCCAAGGAAGGCAGCAGGCGCGCAAAUUACCCAAUCCCGACACGGGGAGGUAGUGACAAUAAAUAACGAUACAGGGCCCUUUCGGGUCUUGUAAUUGGAAUGAGUACAAUGUAAAUACCUUAACGAGGAACAAUUGGAGGGCAAGUCUGGU
rnacentral:rRNA from 1 species